GUUAAGGCAAUCAAGCAAGUUGAUAUUGUGAUUUGUGCUGCUGGUAGACUACUAAUUGAGGAUCAGGUCAAGAUUAUUAAAGCAAUUAAAGAAGCUGGAAACGUUAAGGUGAGCAAAUUUGUCACUACACCACACUAAAUAAGUUCAAAUAAGUCAAUCUAAAUAAACUAUUAAGUAAUAGCUCCUUUGCUGGUUAGAUUUCGGCUUGUUAUAUUGAAUGUUGGUACUAAAUUUCUUGUGUCUACAGAAAUUUUUCCCAUCCGAAUUUGGGCUAGACGUGGACCGUCACGAGGCAGUUGAGCCAGUUAGACAAGUUUUUGAAGAAAAAGCGAGUAUCCGAAGAGUAAUUGAAGCUGAAGGAGUUCCUUACACUUACCUUUGUUGCCACGCCUUUACCGGUUACUUCUUACGUAACUUGGCUCAACUCGACGUCACUGAUCCUCCUCGGGAUAAAGUUGUCAUUCUUGGAGAUGGAAAUGUGAAAGGUAGCAAACUUAUUCACAAAACAGUUUUAGUACUAGUAUUCUACUAAACAUACAUCAUUCAAUUGUUUCAACAUUUGCCUUAAUUUUUUUUUUUUUCAGGAGCUUAUGUCACUGAGGCUGAUGUUGGGACUUUUACCAUUAAAGCAGCAAAUGAUCCCAACACAUUGAACAAAGCUGUCCAUAUAAGACUCCCCAAAAAUUAUUUGACCCAAAAUGAGGUUAUUUCUCUUUGGGAGAAAAAGAUUGGGAAGACUCUUGAGAAAACUUAUGUUUCAGAGGAACAAGUUCUCAAGGAUAUUCAAGGUCAGUAAAAUAAACGCUUUAUAAAUAUUGUUAAGAAUUUUUACAAUGUUAAUCAAUCAAUAAAUCGUUAAAAUUAUUUGAUUUUAAUUAUAUCUAUGCUUACUACGCAGAAUCUUCAUUCCCUCAUAACUACUUGUUGGCAUUGUAUCAUUCACAACAAAUAAAAGGAGAUGCAGUUUAUGAGAUUGAUCCAACCAAAGAUAUUGAAGCUUCUGAAGCCUAUCCUGAUGUCACAUACACCACUGCUGAUGAAUAUUUGAAUCAAUUUGUCUAAGUUUGUCAUCCCGGAAAUGUUAAAUAAGACAAAGAUUAUUUUUUCUUAAUAGUUUCACAUGUUGUACCACAUCAAUUAUAUUGUUAGUUGUCCUUGUUGUCUUGUUCUCAAUAAACCUUCCAAUUGAUGUAAUAUUUUACAAAAAUAAUAAUAUUGUAUUGUUCUAUUGUUUGCACAUUUGUGUCACUAGUAUCACUCUAUUAUUUUGUUGUUGCCCGUGAAUGGGUGACUCAAUAAAUUAUUUAAUACCCACGUCAGGAUGGACCGAUCUACCGUAUGAAGCAAUAUUUGUUUGGUCUCGGUUAUAAAUUUAAAUUAUUUACACACAUGCAAAAGAAAAAAAGUAGAAAGAAUGAACCAAUAUUUUUUUAUUUUAUUUUUAUGGGGGUGUUUGUUUGGGAGAUAAAAAAUAUAUUCCUGGGUAUAAGGGCAUUAAAUAUGAUAUUCCUAUGUUUGGUAGAAGGGAACAAAAAUAAUAUACCCAGGAAUAAAUGAUUCCCAGGAAUCUUAUUUACCCGUUGACUCUCUAUUUUUAUUCCCGGGGGUGGGGGGCUGGAAUCUUCAAUUCCUGAGAAUGAAAUCUCCACAUUCAUGACGAAAACCCACCCAUACCCCUAUUUUACCCACGCUUCUUCCCUCCUAAUUUUUCCCACGCGUUUUCUAAAUUAAUAGAAACCCACAUAUAUAUAAACCCCUCUUUGCUCUCUCUUUUCACUCAUCUGGAUCCAGAUCCAUCCAUAACAGGUUUGUGUCUUAUGUUUUGUUUUGUUUUUUGCGUUUUUUUAACUGCUGGACAGAUUCUCGGCCUGCCAGGCUGCUGUACCAGCGGAGCUGGGCCGCGCAAAUGCGAGUUUCGGUGACUGACAUUCGAGCGGGCAUCCACCAUUCUGUUGCUGUUGCAUGUCAAAGGUGUUGGGCAGUCUGCCAACCUUCAAUUAAAUGGCGUGUAACAACUUGAAACAGGGUACUCUUGUUAUGUAUUAAAAAACAAGUAUAUACCCUGACCAAUACCUUUGUUGACUCGCAUAAUUUACUUUGCUUGAUUAAAAAUAACAUGAAAAAUAUUAUUUUUCAUCAAUUUAAUGUAAAAGGGUAUUUUAAUAAUUUUGACAUUUAUUCCUGGGAUUAUACAUUUUAAACCAAACAUAUUUUUAGUAUUCCCAGGAAUUUAGAAAGAAAGUUCCAAGGAAUUCAAAUUGGUAACCAAACACUUUUUUAAAAUAUUCCUAGGAAUAUAAUUCCAAGGAAUAUAUUCCUGGGAAAAUUAUUCCAGGGAAUAAUUUUUGCAUCUGUGAAACAAACGGCCCCUAUAUUAUUGAAAUAAGUGCCCUAAAGGCAUUUGUUAGCAUUCUCCUUAAAAUAAUUAUAUGAUGUGUAUUUUGAUUGUGCACUUAAAUGAUUUGAAUUUGUGGUUGUGACUAUAUAAAAAUUAUUCGACGGCAUGAUCAACAGACCGUGUGAACAAUUGAAAUAUAUUAAAUAAUCAUGUUCAGACAUCCCUUACUUGUAGAGGUGUCAAAUGGACUGGACAACCCAGUUCGGCUUAAGAGUUUUGACUACAUAAAUGAACCAGUCUGACCAAGCCCAUUUGUAAUUGGGCCGCAUAAAAUAUAAUUGAAUGGAUAUAGAAGUAUAAAUAUUUUUUACAUUACCAUUAAAUACUAAUUAAACUCUAGAUUUAUUUCUUCAAUUGAAUCAAAUUAAUACUACAUCCGUCCAUAAUUAUAGGAUCCUUUUGAAAAAUAACAGGAAUUAAGAAAAUUAAAAGUGAUAAUAAAUUUGUUUUUAAUUACAAUUGUUUUUACAAAUUUGUCUUUUAAGAGUGGGUUAGUCCGUUAAUGUAUGUUUACAAUGUAGUAUUUAAUGAUGAUUGAAGAAAAAGAUAUACAAUAAAUAGGGGUAUGGUGGUAAAGAAUUAAUUAAUAUAUUUGGAAAUAGCAAAGAGAUUUUUAUAAAAAGAGACAAAAAAAUUCUCAAAAGGGUCCUAUAAUUAGGGACAGAGACAGUAGUUUAUAAACUUUAGAAUUUUAAAACUUUGAACUAAAUUUAUGCAUUUUUAUUAAGUUGACUUAUUUCAAUAUAUUUUAUUAAUAAAUUUUUAAAGUAGUUGAUAAUGUUUUUAAAAAAUAUAGCGUUUUUUAACAAAAAUAAAAUAAAAGUAUAGAUAGUAGGUCGGUCCGAAGUCCGAUAGGUUAGCCUGACUCGGCCCCAUUUUCAUAUGGAUCAAAUGAGCUAAGGUAAAAAAAAAUACGAGAGUAUUUUUAGUUAGGUUUGUGGUUCGGCCCAAAAUGUGUCAUUUUUUAUGUCUCUACUUACUAGCCAUCUCACCAUUAACAACGAUUUGUCAACUAAACAAUGUCAUCUUCUUUUCUAUUAAAGUUAACCCGGAAGCCCUAAUUUUAACCUAAACUAUAUUGCAUAAAUUUACUGUUUUAACCCUAAUGCUUAAUUCCUUUGUUUAAUCCUAUUAACCCUAUUUCUUGGUUGAAACAAAUUGAACCUAAUCUCCUAUUUUCUUGAAUAAAACAAAUUGGCCCUAUUUCUUCAACAAAACAAAUCGCUUUAUUUCUUGCUUUAAAAAAGAAACAACAACUCAAGUUGGGAUACUCUACUUGACCUAGAAGAGAAAUAACGGAAAGAAGAACUUGCCUUUUUGAGAACUUAUUGUCGGAACUCGGAAGCAAUGGUGAUCUGCUAAGUUUAUGGCGAGUUCGAUUGAUUAUGAGCUGCUAAGUUCGAUUGAGUAAGAGUUCGAUUGAUUAUGAGUUGCGAAGUUCCAUUGAGUAACAGGCAACAAAUCCUUCUUCUCAUGGCGGUAGGGAUGAGAGAUUUUGCUUACAACAAAUUAAUGGCAUGAUCAUAGGAAAGAGAUUUUAGUUUCUAGGUUUAGUAAGAACAAUGGGAUGAGAAAUGAUGAGGUAGAGUUGCAUGUGAAGAUAUGAUGAGGGAGAUAAAGAUGUUGAUAGGUUUUGGAAUAGGAAAGUAAUUUUUAUGAGAGAGGUUGACUACAGCUAUAAAAUAAAUGAUAAUUAUAUUUAUUUGAUACUUCCUAAAUGUUGUUACUUGAGAGUUAAAACGAUCUCUUUCCUGUGCAAACUAAAAAAUAAAGAGAAUAUAUGAAUUUUUAAUUCCAGCUAUUUUUUAUUCUUUUUUUUUUUUGUCUUUGAAAAUUGAUCUUUAAACUUCAUUAUUUGAAAAAAUCGAUUAUUUAUACUUUAACUAUUUUUAUUAAACUUAAUGUCUACUAAAAAUACAAUCUUAUUUCUUCUUAAUUUUUUAACACGUGAUCAAAAUUAUAUCUUUUUGUGUCUUUUGCUCCAACUUCCCUCUAUUUUUGCUUUCUUAAAAACAAAUUAAAACAAACUCACUCGAUAGAAUUCACUAACUUAAUCUUUUUUUAAAGAAAAAACAAGCUUAAUCUUAAUAAAUAUAUAAAGAGUUAAAAAUAAUUUACAAUCUAUUUUCUUUCUCUUUCUCUAAUUAUGAAGUUAAUGACCGAUAAAAACAAAUUUUUGCCUCAUCUUAAUAUUUUGACACCUCAACAUAUAUUUAUCUUUGUAUGUCUUUUGUAACAAAAUAUCCUAUUUCGCUGAGGGAGAAAAUAACUUUCAAAAGAUUGAUGUGAUUUUAUAACAAAAAAUUCAUUUUAUAUUGAUAUAUCUAUACAAUCUAAAAUAUUUGAAUACCGGACAAAUUACUCUUAAAAAAAAAAAUCAUCGGCAAAUUAUAAUAACCUCCCUUAAGAUCUUCUUAAAUACUAACCUUCCUUAAGGUCUUCUUAAUUGAAAAGCACUUCCCCUAUAAUAUAACACGGUUUAAACUUCGUUCAUUCUAUUUUUUUUAGCAAUUAACUUCUCCAUACGAGUAUAAACUCACUUAAUUUUUCGACCAUUUUUUCUUUCCAUUUUUCACUUUAGUGAUUUUCUCAACUUAUUGUUCCUCAAUUAAGGUGAUUUAAUUUUUAAACUCUAAUAUAAUAAAACGGAUAUAUCAAAGAUUAUUUUCUUUUCAUUGAUCAACUGCAAUGUCCAUCCACUAAAAUUCUUCUCAUUUCUAUAUUCUCUCCUGAUCUCUUAUGUAAUUGCCGAUGUUUGAUUCUAUUUGGCGGUAUGAACAAAUGUUGUUAUUGUUUCUUCAUUGCGAGAAAAAAACUCAUUUAAACAUAAUUGUGAAAAGAGAAAUUAGAUACAAACAAACCAAAAUGACUGAAAUUAAAUUGUAUAUUUACAAAGUUAUUGAAAUGGAAAAAAUGUGGGAAGAUUGAUGUGUUGGAAAAUUAGAAGGCGUGCUUGUGUUAUUUAAGAAAAUCUCAAGGGAUGUCAAUGUAAUUUACCCUUUUAUCAUUAAUGUUGACUUUAUCAUUAGUUUUUUCUUAUUUUUUCAAUUCAUAUAGCAUUGCAAUGCGCUUUGAUGCAUACCCCCGCUUCAAAUUAGCUCGUGCGGAGAGCACGGGUUUGUUGCUAGUUGAUAUAAAUAAUGUGAUUGAUGUCACUUUCAGUUAGCCCCCAAAACUUUGCAUAAAGGGUGAUUCACUGUCAAUUAAAAUUUCUGAAGAUUUAUACCAAGUAGGGUUGGAAAAAUACAAGAACGAAUUGCAUGGUAGAUUUAAGUUGUAAAGGAGGAUAUGCCACCAUGGUCGUAUCUGAGGUAGGAUAAAGAGAACGACUGUACUAGACUUCAAAAAAUAAGUUCAAAAAAAUACAAAAAUAAUACUUAAAAGUUUAGUUCUUUGUUGGCACAUAUCUAGAAAUGCUUGUAGAAAUUGUUUUGUAUGAGCAUUUAAAUAUUAAAUAAAAAAUCAUAAUUUUAUACGAAGUUUGAUAUUUUUAUUAGAUUAUUUCUUAGCGUAAUAAAAACCAUCAUUUUCAAGUAAAUUAUUUUCACACUUUAGAAAUUCAAUUUUUUUAUAUGCUUAUUAUUUAAGACUCAAAUUGUAGAUUUACCCUUAGGACACCAAAAUCUUAGAAACGAACAUGUAUGUCACUCAAGUCGGAUGACCUUCAAUUCAAAUUAGCCAAAUUAUUGAAAUCAUUAUGUCAUUGAAAAAAUGAUACCACUAGGUAAGGGUUUUUACGAAAUUUCAUUUAGUUUCUAAAGAGGGUUUAAGAAGGACAUGGAUUAUGGGAGCACAAUCUUUGCAUUUGGGUAUCUUGUCUUUGCUUCGAUGGACACCAGAUUUCAGUUUAAGGAAACGAAGACAAACAAAUGUAGAAUGUUGUUAUCUCCAGUUAUACUUCCUUCAAUUUGUGAGUAAGUAAAAUUAUGGCUUAAUUACCUAUUUUGUUUCUUUCACUGAAUUACAUAAAACAUGUGACAUGUCUAAAAGAAAUUCAAUUUGGCUAUCAACAUUGUUGAAUGUGACUUAAACUUUCAUGUUUGAAUGGUGAAAAAAUGGUUUGCUAUUGUCCAAUAUGAAAGGCAUAUCCGGUGGUGAGGCGCAAGGCAUACUCUGGGUGUUUUUAUCACAUUUCGGUUCUGUCCCACAUGCCUUGCGCAUGGAGCAACAUGCAAGGCGCAUCCUGGAUAUGCUAACUUGAUGCAAGGUGCCUACAUCAGGUACAUCAUCUAUGAUUUCCAGUUUUCUCAUUCUUUUGUGAUUAAUCUUAUGAAACUAAAGAAGAUAGCUCUUAAGUAUCUUAGAGGCUAAAAGUAGAGGGUCUUUGUGUGAGAUUUUUAGGUUGGGCGGGAAACACAUUGUAAAUUUGAAUGUUGGCAACAAGUUAUGCAAGCUGAACUUUCUGCUCUUGAGACUCCUGGUACAUGGAAAAUUGUGGAUUUACCAUAAAAUGUGAAACAAAUAGGUUACAGAUGGAUUUAUAAGAUCAAACAUUAUGUUGAUGGAUCUAUUGAGAGGUACAAAGCCAGACUUAUUGCAAAAGGGUACAAUAUUUGAUAGAAAGACUUGAUUAUUUUAUCGCAUACUCACCAGUUGAUGUAAUAUUUUAGAAAAAUAACAAUAUUGUAUUUUGUUCUAUUGUUUGCACAUUUCACAUUUGUGUCACUAGUGUUCAGUUUUGAAAAUUUUACAUCACUCUAUUAUUUUAUUGUUGCCCGUGAAUGGGUGACUCAAAAACUUAUUUAAAACACACGUCAGGAUGGACCGAUCUAUACCACAUGAAGCAAUUUUAUUUAUUUAUUUUAAACAAUGUACCUUUUGGACAUUGUGUGGUCACAAAUUCUUCAAAAAUAAAAUUUAAAUUAUUUACACAUAUGCAAAUGAAAAAAUUAGAAAAAAAAGAAGCGAUAUCUUUUAUUAUCAUUUUUUUGAAGAGACUAAAAUGAAUUAUAUUACCACCACGAAAGUCUUCCUAGCACAAGGGAUGUCAAGGAAUAAAAACCUCAAAGUCAAACAAAAUAAUAAAUUACAACAAGGCAAAAGCCAUCACCACAAAACAACCUGAAACAACACAACAAUUAUCCUAUGCCUAGUAAAGUGAACGAACUAAGCCACCAACCAUGAUAGUUAAAAUGAAGAGUAGCAUACUUCGCCUUCAACCACUUGAAUGUUAGCAACUUAAUCCUAUCCACCACCUGCAUAAUGGCGCUAUCAUUAGCAUUAAAAAUUAUGUUGUUUCUUUCCUUCCAUAUUUCCCACAUAGUCGCAAACCAAAUCACCUGAAGAAUAGAUUGCCUCGACUUAGAGCCACCGCUUAAAAAACUGAAUUGAAUAAAAUGCCCCGAAACAUCUAAAGGCAUCGCUGUAGCUAUACCAAUCCAUUGAUAUAUAUAAUUCCAAACCGAUCCAAAAAGACUACAAUGUAAGAAUAAAUGGUUUUAUGUUUCAACAAAACCGCAUCCACCAACACAAAUUUGAGCGUCAAAAUCUAAAACAUGACGCCUAUGAAGAUUAACCUUUGUAGGAAGCCGGUCACGAAAUACACGCCACGCAAAAAGCACCACCUUCAAAGGGACAUCCUUAUGCCAAAAAGAAGGCAAACGCACCACAUUAUCAACAUGAACCUGCGCCAUGAGAGUAGUGUCUGCACUUUUUACUGUAUAACAGGAAGUAGGAUCCGCGUUCCACUUCCAAAAAUCCUUUAUGUGAACCUGAAAAGAAACAUUUUGAAGUAAAAGCCUAAGCUCCCCUACCGACUCUUCCUCCCAAGCCCACAGCCUACGCCUCCACCUCCACGCCCCACCCUCCUCCUCCCACCCUAACGCUCUCAUCGCUGCAACAGACUCCUCCUUUAGAAGCGACAACUCAUACAACCUACUAAAUCUAUCCCGAAGCGACACUCGCUUCACCCAAACAUCCGUCCAAAACAAGACACUAGACCCAUCACCCAAAGAACGACUAAUAUUAUUAUUAAACCAGCCCUCAGAUCGCAAGGCCACUAUACUUCGCCACCACGCGGAACCAUCACGACCUCCACUACACAAGUGACCGCCCUCCAAACCAUUUCGCGCCGCUAACACCCUAAACCACAGACUAUCCCUAUCCACCAACACCACUUCCCUAAUAAUGCUAAAUUAAAUUCUUUAAUUCUCCUAACCCCCAAACCUCCAACUUCCUGACUCCGACAAACAGAAUUCCAAUCAACCCAAAUAAUUUUCCUGUGGUCUGCACUCCCCCCCCCCCCAAAAAAAAUUAUUUAAAAUAGAUUCAAUAGAAGAAACAAUACCUGACGGAGCCUUGAAAAAAGAAAGAGCAUAAACAGGCAGGGACGAUAGGACGGACUUCAGUAGAACCAACCGGCCACCCAAAGACAAGUGUUUCGACUUCCAACCCAACAAUCUAGACUUAAGACGGAAUGAUUUAUAUUUUGUAUAUGUACCUAAAUGAUUUGAAUUCGUGGUUGUGACCACACAAAACUUAUCCGACAGAAUGAUCAAUAGACUAUGUAGACAAUUGAAAUAUAUUAAAUAAUCAUUUUCGGAUAUCCCUUACUUUGUAGAGGUGUCAAAUGAAUUGAUCCGACUCAGUCCGGACUGAGAGGUCCGACUACAUAAUUUGGUCAGAACGACCCAACCCAUUUGUAACUGGACCGCAUAUUAUAGAGCCCGACCUGAUCUAUAGGUCAUGGACCAACCCGACCCGUUUAUUUAUUUAUUCACUUUUUUUUCUUUCUUUUUUUUUAUGUAUUUUUUAUAUAUUAGUUACCCACAACAAUCUUUUUUCUCAAAUAUGAUUGGAUGAACAUAGAAAUGCAAAUAAUUUUUACAUUAACAUUAAAUACUAAUUAAACUUGAGAUUUAUUCCUUCAAUUGAUUCAAUUAAUAAUUUAUAAACUUUAGAAUUUUAAAUCUUUGAGCUAAAUUUAUCCGAUUUUAUUAAGUUUACUUAUUUAAUUUUUUUUUUUAUUAAUGACUAUUAAAGCAGUUGAUAAAGUCUUAAAAAAUAUAGCGUUUUUAACAAAAAUCAAAUGGAAAUAUUGAUAGUGGACCGGUCCGAAGCCUGAUAGGUUAGCCCGACUCGGCCUAUUUUUAUAUGAAAAUUACUCUUCUUCCUUUUAAAAUUGUUUAUUCUCUUAAGAUCGGUUGACCCGACUGAAAAUGUGAUUGAAUCGAUUUUAAAAGUGUUAGCAAGAGUUAACUACCGCUGAAAAAUACCUAACGUGAGUUAACUUCCGCUUAUAUAAGAGAAUGAUCAAUUUUGAAAGGAAUAAGAGCAAUUUUCUUUUUAUAUGGGUCAAAUGAGUUACGGUCAAAAAAGUCCGAAAAAUGCUCUUCUCUCAAAAAGAUUUGCUCACUUCCAACCAAACUUACAAAAAUACUCCACAUAAGUUAAGUCACACAUAUAUUAAACUCAGCAUGACUUAACUCACGUUAAAAAUUUAAACUGAACUGCAACAUAAAUUAACUCACCUUAGUUUUCUUUCUCAAGUUUCACAUGAAAAUCUUGCUCCUGCUAAGAUGCUUAUUUAAUUAUUUAAUAUAUUGCUGUUGAUAUGAUUGUGUGUACCUGUCGCAGUAAUGCAAAGUAGAAGGUAUCCAGCAUGACCCAUACCAUGAUGCUAGCAGCAGUACACACGUGUGUUGUUAGGACAGCAAGAGAUGCAAUGGUCCAUACACCCAUUUAAACCAUUAUAAGCAUUGGAGGAGCAAGAUUUUCAUGUGAAAAUUGAGAAAGAAAACCAGCGUCAGUUAACUUACGAUGGGAUUUAGUGUGAGUUUUUAGCAUGGCUUAAGUCACGUAGGUUGUAUUCCAGUAUGAUUUAAGUAAGUUGGGUUUAACACUUGCGUGAUUUAACUCACGCGAGGAUAUUUUCAAAAAUUUGGUUGAGAAUAAACAAAUCUUGUUGAAAAAAGAGCAUUUUUCAAAAAGUCCGAAUGCAUUUUGGGCCGUCUUUUUUAGAUCCAGCCCAAAAUGUGUUAGUUUUUGCAAUCUCUACCUACUUGCCAUCUCACUAUUAACAACGAUUUAUCAACUAAACUAAACAAUGCCAUUUUUUAUACAUGCACUAAAUAAUGUGAUUGAUGUCACUGUCACACAACCCCCAAAACUUUGCAUAAAGGGGGAUUCAUUGUCAAUAAAAAUUCCUAGGAUUUAUACCAACCAGGGUUGGAAAAAUACAAAAACAAACUGCAUGGUAGAUUUACGCUGCAAAGAGGGAUAUGCCAUGGCCGUAUCUUAGGCAGGGCAAAGAGGACGAUCAUACUAGUUCUCACAUAAUAACUUCAAAUUUAGAUCUCAAAAUUCAAAAAUAAUAUUUAAAUAUUUAGUUCUUUGUUGGCACAUAUCUAAAAAUGCUCAUAGAAAUUGUUUUGUAUGAGUAAUUAAUAUUAAAUAAAAAAUUUCAAUAUUUUAUAUGAAGUCCAAUGUUUUAUUAGAUUAUUUCUUAGCGUAAUAAAAACUAUUAUUUUCAAGCAAAUUUUUUUCACAUUUUAGAAAUUCAAUUUUUUGUAUAUAUUUAUUAAUUAUGAUCCAAAUUGUAGGUUUAUCUUUAAACCACCAAAAUCUUAGAAACGGGCUUGUAUGCAUCUCAAGUCGGACGACCUUCAAUUCAAAUUAGUCAAAUUAUAGAAACCAUUAUGCCGUUGAAAAGAGGCUUUAAGAAGGACCUGAAUUCUGAGAGCACAGACUUUAUAUUUGGGUAUCUUGUGUUUGCUUCAGUGGACACCACACUUCAAUCUAUGGAAACAAAGACAAACAAAUGUACAAUGUUGUUAUCACCAAUUAUAUUUCCUUCAAUUUGCAAAGAAGUAAAAUCAUGGCUUAAUUACAUAUUUAGUUCCUUUCACUGAAUUACAUAAAACAUUUGACAUGUCUUAAAGAAAUCCAAUUUGGCUAUCAACAUUGUUGAAUGUGACUUAAACUUUCAUGUUUGAAUGGUGAAAAAAUGGUUUGUUAUUGUCCAAUAUGCAAGGCAUAUGCGGUGGUGAGGCGCAAGGAGCAUCCUGGAUCUGCUGACUGUGCGCAAGGUGUCUGCAUCAAGUCCAAUAUCUAUGGAAUUUCAGUUUUCUCAUCCUUUUGUGGUUGUGAAACUAAACAAGAUAGCUUUUAAGAAUCUUAGAGACUAACAGUUGAGUUGAGGGUUUUAAGUAAGAUUUUUAGGUUGUGAAACUCAUUAUAAAUAUUUUGGAGAUUAAAAGUAGUUGAGUCUCUUGAUCACAAAAAGAUAUAGAAAAAUGGGUAAAAAUUAGAUUGUUCAUAGAGAACUUGUUCAAGCUAAUUUUUUAUAACUUAUUUUUAUCAUUUGUAAGAAUUAAACUCAUUUAUUGGGAAUUGGAGAGUUGCAUUUUCCCAUAUGUAGGUUAUUAUUGUUGGACCAAACUGAAAACCAAAUCUUGAUGUGUUUAUUUCUCUACUCUCUUUAUUUUGUUGUUGUUGCUUUGAUUGUGGAUUUUCUUUACGCUUUUUUGUUACAUCGACAAUUAUAAAAAAUUAACAAUCUAUUGAAACUCAUUUCAAGCGCUCUAAGUGUUUAAGAACAAUUUAUGUUGAGUGAUUAAACACAUUUUUUUUUGUAAUAGCUGUAUAUAUCUAUCAAAUGAAGACAAAUUCUUUGUAUUUUUUUCUUUUUAUUUAUUAUAUUUACUUUUUGCUUAAAAAAAACGAAGAGAAAUUCAACAUGCAGGUUGUGUGGUGUCAUUGUUGAAAAAUUGUGAAGUAUAGGUUUCAAGUUGAAUAUUAAAAAAUCCUUAAAAAGUUAGAUGUAUCAUCGAUAAUUUGGAUUAUAGAUGGAUGAUACGAUGGAUACAUACUCAACCAAAUUGUUUUCGUAAGCUGAGUUUUUUGUAUAUAUAUAUUACAACUGACUAGUAGUAUGUUUUAUGCGGAGUUAAUAGACUUAAGAGAAGGUGUCAAUCUUGACCAACAGGGGCUACUUCUAAUUCAACAAUAAUGGAAUAUUAUUAAAUUUGGUCACCAAAACACACAGAGAGUAGUAGAUAGAUGGAAGUUGGUGGCAAUCCAAAUUAGUCCUAUAAAUAUCAAACAAAGUAUAGUUUAUUCAUAACACACUCACUACUACUUUGGUAACUUACUCAGAACAAGAAAAAACAGACACACAUAAACACACUUGUUUUUUUACUAAAGUUAUUUUUUCUUCCAAUGGCAACUGAAAACAAAAUCCUGAUCCUAGGACCAACAGGAGCUAUUGGAAGACACAUAGUUUGGGCAAGUAUUAAAGCAGGAAAUCCAACAUAUGCUUUGGUUAGAAAAACACCUGGCAAUGUUAACAAGCCAAAGCUUAUUACAGCUGCUAAUCCUGAAACCAAGGAAGAGCUUAUUGAUAAUUACCAAUCUUUAGGAGUUAUUCUACUUGAAGUAAGUGAUUUCAAUUUCUGAAAUAAUUUUAUAUUUUAUACUAAUUAAAUUUUUCUAAUCAAUAUGUCUUUGACUCUGCAGGGUGAUAUAAAUGAUCAUGAAACUCUUGUUAAGGCAAUCAAGCAAGUUGAUAUUGUGAUUUGUGCUGCUGGUAGACUACUAAUUGAGGAUCAGGUCAAGAUUAUUAAAGCAAUUAAAGAAGCUGGAAACGUUAAGGUGAGCAAAUUUGUCACUACACCACACUAAAUAAGUUCAAAUAAGUCAAUCUAAAUAAACUAUUAAGUAAUAGCUCCUUUGCUGGUUAGAUUUCGGCUUGUUAUAUUGAAUGUUGGUACUAAAU
rnacentral:lncRNA from 1 species